ensembl:lncRNA
CAAUUAAGAAAUACAGAUAGUUUCUCUCUUUACUCUUAAAGUUAACAAAUAUGUUUUAUAUAUUUAUCAAUCUAAAAAAAAUAAACAUUUAGUCUGAUUUGAUGUUACAAUUAAAAAAGUGUUUGUGUUUUGAUCUGAAGAGUAUGUAAAUAUCUGAUUUCAACUGUAUAUUUGAUGAUUGUCAGCACAGAGAGGGAGAGAGAGGAGCAGAGAGGGGGAGAGAGGAGCAGAGAGGGAGAGAGAGGAACAGAGAGGGAGAUGGAGAAUGAGGACAGAACAGAGAUGGAACAAGAGCAGGUGAGACAGACAUGGGUGGUGAAACUCAGUGUGCUGCUCUCUGUUCUUGGCACUGAAACAAAGACCUCCAGAGGAACCACGCCUGGCGAGCAGCCCAAAGGAAUAAGUGCAGAGACCCAAAAGGAAUUUGUAUCAGCUCAGUUUCAGUUUCACAAAAGAGAUCAACGUCAUGACUCACACUGUGUUCACUGAACCAGUGGAGUGUAGGAGGGCUCAGAGGAUGUAACCACACACAGGCUGACUGAGGAACCAGGAAUAAACUGCUUCACUGAACCUCUGCAGAGCAGGUUUUUAUGUUAACA